GGUCAAGUGCUUUCCCCAUUCGCAUCUGCCCCGCCCCUUAAAAAAUCCUGAGCGCCGGUUGAGCCAUCAUUUAUUUUAAAUUAGCGCUUUUCUUCUUCUGAGGGAUUGUUACUAGGCCUAGUCAGUAGCAACUCGACUUUAACUGCUGAACCGUUUGCUGUAUGGGGAACGUUAAAUAUUCAAUUACUGAAUAAAAGCGGCUAACUAUUGCCGAUGUUGAGCUUCAGGAGAAGGGAAUUCCGCACCUAGAGCCACCAUUCAAUUCGCCACUCAUUUACAGCUGGAGCCCUGGGGUGAGGCCAUCUCGCUACCAUUGAACAUCUUCCCUUGGCAUCCACAGCCUCUGAAAUCAUCUCCAAGUCAUCAAUAACCGGUUUCCAUAACGGGAUGUGCUUUAGGCUUUUGGGCACGACAGAGGAUGAAUGGGGAUGGCAGAGGGUGCAGGUGAGUCUCU